CGAGCUGAGACCUCCAUCCUCCUCUGCCCUCGGACACUGAUGCUCCUUGUUUUCUGGCUUCACACUUGGACUGGGGUUCACACCAAGGCUUUCCUGGAUCUUCAGCCUGCAAAUGGCAGAUUGACUGCAGCUGGUAAACCCACGUGGUAUAGAAAAAUUGUUACUCCUGCCUCUAGUAGUAACUGUCCUUCCAGUAUAUGCUGGGAAAUAUGCUAGAACCAGGAAGACAACAGUGAACACAAGAAGUACAAUUCAUGCCCUCAUGGAGCAGCAGUCUCCAGUCAGAGAGAAAGUGUGGAUCAAAUAAUUACAAACACAAAUAUAAAUACUUCGUGAAAAUCCUGGUAAGUGCUGAGGAAGAGAUGCACAGGUGUUAAACAGGGUAACUUGGCCUAUCCUGAGACGGUACUGAGGAACUAACGAUUGAACUGACAACUGCGGAUGAGGAGUUAUGGGUGGACAUGAAAUGGAUGAGACCUGCAGAAGGAAGAAGCGCCCCCAGGGAAAGGUAUUCAGUCAGCAAAUAUUGAUUUGAACUGUGGUGCUGGAGAAGACCCUUGAGAGUCCCGUGGACUGCAAGGAGAUCAAACCAAACAGUCCUAAAGAAAAUCAACUCAGAAUACUCAUUGCAAGGACUGAUGCUGAAGCUGAAGCUCCAAUACUUUGGCCACAGGAAACUGAAAGAGGCCCUGGGGCUAAAGCACCACGGGCUGAGCUACAGCCGCCCCAAGAUGGCGCGAAGGCCCUUCCCCUCAGCUCCUGCACCAGGCUCUCUUCUUCACUCAACGACAUUAAGCCUGGGUUUCAGAACCCCUCCAGGGUUCCCUGAUUGCUUCUAGGAGGAGCUCACUUUUCCCAACACUCCUAGACAUCAUAACUUGGAAGAGUUUGGAAUCCCAAGGAAGUUCUAGAAUGACUCUACUUAACUAAGGAUAUUCAGUCAGCAAAUAUUGAUUUGAACUGUGGUGUUGGAGAAGACUCUUGAGAGUCCCUUGGACUGCAAGGAGAUCAAACCAGUCAGUCCUAAAGAAAAUCAACCCUGAAUAUUCAUUGCAAGGACUAAUGCUGAAGCUGAAGUGCCACUACCUUGGCCACCUGAUGUGAAGAGCUGACUCAUUGGAAAAAGAGCCCAAUGCUUUUGGAGAAAGCAUCUUUCCUCAUUGGAAAGACUGAGGGCAGGAGGAGAAGGGGGCGGCAGAGAAUGAGAUGGUUGGAUGGCAUUGCCGACUCAGUGGGCAUGAGUUUGGGCCAAACUCUGGGAGCUAGUGAAGGACAGGGAAGCCUGGGGUGCUGCAGUCCAUGGAGUUGCAGAGAGUUGGACACGACUGAGAAACUGAACAGCAACCUGGAGUGGGCAAUGCGCUGUGGAGAGUCCUGCAAGGAAUACUAAAGCCAGACAGCCUCCAAUCUCAACAUGUUUACAAUCUAACGUGCUCAAUCUCACCCGCGGGUUAUUACCCAAAAAAGCACCCUGCUGCUUGGCCCAGGCAGCAUGGUGGUCUGGCUGAGAAAUGGAUGUUCCCAGUGAAGCUGGGAUGGGGGAAUUGGAAAUUAGUGUGUUGGCAGGGAAGGGAGAGAGAUUUUCCAAUUCUGUCACAUGUGAGUUAAAAUCCUCUGAAGAAAUCUGGGACAAUUAUCUUUUCAAGAUUGGAGUUAGAAGAACCGGGCCGGCUCAGAGACCCGGGUCAAGCACACAGGCAGGACCCUCCCCAGGUGGCAUGCCCUGCCCUUGUGUAAUCCUUGUUUCCCCUGCCCCAGCUUCUGGAGAGGCCUGCUGUGGAGAAAAGGGAGCUGGGUAUGCCAUCUUGCAUUUGCUGAUGCAAUAUCAGCAGGCACUCCCACUGCCCUUGGGCCCCUCAGGCAAAUGCUGCCCUAUUUCCUAUAACAUAUGGGUUAAACGACCCAAGCCAGUGGCCUUGCAGUAUCUUUUAUCCAAAGAGUAAUUGUUUUAAAAAAAAAAAAUGUGGAGGAAGAAGAAGAGCUCUAAAGAGUAUGUUUCUCCCCACUAGCCCAAGUGAUCCUGGCAUGACCCAGAGAGAGCUUUCCGCAGGGUGACCUUCAACCAGGCAGUUACUCUGUCACUAGAAAGCUGAUCUGCCAUGAAUAGGGGCAUAUUCUCAGAGUCCAUGGGCACUUCAGUAAAAUAAAAAAUGAGAACAUAUAAAUACUCAUGUCUUCUGAUGCAAUGAUUCCAGACCUAGCAAUUUGUCCCAAGGGGAAAAAAGAUUUAUUUUGGCUCCGCCAUGUGGCAUGCAGGAUCUUAGUUCCCUGACCAGAGAUUGAACCUGUGCCCCCUGCAGUGGAAGCAAAGAGUAAACCUACUGGACUGCCAGGGAAGUCUCAAAAUAACUUUUUUAGAUAUACACACUUAAGGCUAUUUGUUGCAGAGGAAAAUAAGGAAUCAAUCUAAUAAUAGAAAAUAUUAAAUCAGCAGAUAUCAGCUCAGCAGACUCACGUGUUCAUGGGCUUUGAUGCCACUGAUAUGAUCAUGUUUUUGCUCUCGGUAGUGGAUACUGGAAGGCUGCCUUCACUCCCACUUCCCCAGAGCACUCUGAUUUCCACCUGGGUGAUCAUUUUCCCACAAAACACAGUGUCUCGGUAGAAUGCGUGUGCCUAC